GCGUGGGUGAAGAAGGUCUUCGGAUUGUAAAGCCCUUUCGGCGGGGACGAUGAUGACGGUACCCGCAGAAGAAGCCCCGGCUAACUUCGUGCCAGCAGCCGCGGUAAUACGAAGGGGGCUAGCGUUGCUCGGAAUGACUGGGCGUAAAGGGCGCGUAGGCGGUUCAUACAGUCAGGCGUGAAAUUCCUGGGCUCAACCUGGGGGCUGCGCUUGCGACGUAUGGGCUGGAGUGCGGAAGAGGGUCGUGGAAUUCCCAGUGUAGAGGUGAAAUUCGU
rnacentral:rRNA from 1 species